ACGGGUGAGUAACGCGUGGGAAUCUACCCAUCUCUACGGAAUAACGCAUGGAAACGUGUGCUAAUACCGUAUACGUCCUUCGGGAGAAAGAUUUAUCGGAGAUGGAUGAGCCCGCGUUGGAUUAGCUAGUUGGUGGGGUAAAGGCCUACCAAGGCGACGAUCCAUAGCUGGUCUGAGAGGAUGAUCAGCCACACUGGGACUGAGACACGGCCCAGACUCCUACGGGAGGCAGCAGUGGGGAAUAUUGGACAAUGGGCGCAAGCCUGAUCCAGCCAUGCCGCGUGAGUGAUGAAGGCCCUAGGGUUGUAAAGCUCUUUCACCGGUGAAGAUAAUGACGGUAACCGGAGAAGAAGCCCCGGCUAACUUCGUGCCAGCAGCCGCGGUAGUACGAAGGGGGCUAGCGUUGUUCGGAUUUACUGGGCGUAAAGCGCACGUAGGCGGACUAUUAAGUCAGGGGUGAAAUCCCGGGGCUCAACCCCGGAACUGCCUUUGAUACUGGUAGUCUUGAGUUCGAGAGAGGUGAGUGGAAUUCCGAGUGUAGAGGUGAAAUUCGUAGA
rnacentral:rRNA from 1 species